GGGCGGUUAGCUCAGUUGGUUAGAGCACUUCGUUUACACCGAAGGGGUCCGGGGUUCGAGUCCCUGACCGCCCA
rnacentral:tRNA from 1 species